rnacentral:lncRNA from 1 species
CUAGUUUAAUUUGAACGACAAUAUUUGGGAUUAUAAAUGUACUGCCUUUUUCCUUACACCAAAAGAGUCGACGAUCGACUCAAUGGCAUACGGGUUUUACACCUCACUAAAAGAAUAGGAGAAUAAUAAAUCCUAGCAUGACGUGCACACUCACGUGACUGUCUGAGGCAAGGAGCUCCUAUGCACCCUUUGGGAAAUAUGUAAUCUUUAUAAUGCACCAUAUUAUGUCUUCGAUGU